GAAAUGUGAUAAGUAAUGUGAAUUGCAGAAUUCAGUGAAUCAUCGAAUCUUUGAACGCAUCUUGCACUCUCUGGUAUUCCGGAGAGUAUGUCUGUUUGAGUGUCAUGAAUUCUUCAACCCUCCCUUUUCUUAGUGAAUUGAGAGGAGUUUGGAUUCUGAGUGUUGCUCCUAACCCGAGCUCAUUCGUAAUAUAUUAGCAUCCAUAUUCGAUUUCGGAUUGACUUGGCGUAAUAGACUAUUCGCUGAGGAAUCUAACUUCGGUUAGAGCCGUUUUUGAACUAGGAAGCUGCUAAUCUAGCUUAGUCUACCUUUAGAUUAGAUCUCAAAUCAGAUAGGAUUACCCGCUGAACUUAA
rnacentral:misc_RNA from 1 species